GGACCCGCACAAGCGGUGGAGCAUGUGGUUUAAUUCGAUGCAACGCGAAGAACCUUACCAGGCCUUGACAUCCCCGGAACUUUCUAGAGAUAGAUUGGUGCCUUCGGGAACGCUAUGACAGGUGUUGCAUGGCUGUCGUCAGCUCGUGUCGUGAGAUGUAUGGUUAAGUCCAGUAACGAGCGCAACCCCUAUCCUUAUUUGCCAGCGCGUUAAGGCGGGAACUAUAGGGAGACUGCCGGGUGAAACCCGGAGGAAGGCGGGGACGAGGUCAAGUCAUCAUGGCCCUUAUGGGUUGGGCUACACACGUGCUACAAUGGGAAGUACAGAGGGAUGCGAAAGCGCGAGCUGGAGCCAAACCCUUAAAACUUUUCUUAGUCCGGAUUGGAGUCUGCAACUCGACUCCAUG
rnacentral:rRNA from 1 species